UUGGAUAAGAGUGAAGAUAAUAGAUAACUACAUAAUGAGAUAUUAAAUGUCCAUUUUACAAAGAGAAAGAAUAAUUAUAUGCUUAAGGAUUCAAACAUAAGUUAAAAUUGUAAAAUUAAAAUUGUAAAAGUUUAAUCUUAAUUGCAAUGAGCAACAAGAUAGACAAAUAAACUUUAGUUUUAAUGUUGGCCCGUCGGGCCAGCCCGGCCCUCCAUGGCCCGUCUAAAAAACGGGUUGAAUAUGGGCUUUUGGGCUAAAACCCCUAGCCCGGCCCGCUAAAAACACCUAUCCGAACGGGCUGGCCUGUUGGGCCAAGCCCAUUUUGCCACCCCUACCUCAUACACCUUUGAGUGCAAGAGGAUUAUUCGGAGCCAGC
rnacentral:lncRNA from 1 species